rnacentral:rRNA from 1 species
AGCGUAGACGGCACGGCAAGCCAGAUGUGAAAGCCCGGGGCUCAACCCCGGGACUGCAUUUGGAACUGCUGAGCUAGAGUGUCGGAGAGGCAAGUGGAAUUCCUAGUGUAGCGGUGAAAUGCGUAGAUAUUAGGAGGAACACCAGUGGCGAAGGCGGCUUGCUGGACGAUGACUGACGUUGAGGCUGAAAGCGUGGGGGAGCAAACA